CAGUAGCCGCGGUAAUACGAGGGGGGCAAGCGUUGUUCGGAAUUAUUGGGCGUAAAGGGUGCGUAGGCGGUUUGACAAGUCUUAUGUGAAAUCUUCGGGCUCAACCCGAAGUCUGCAUGGGAAACUGUCGGGCUUGAGUAUGGGAGAGGUGAGUGGAAUUUCCGGUGUAGCGGUGAAAUGCGUAGAUAUCGGAAGGAACACCUGUGGCGAAAGCGGCUCACUGGACCAUAACUGACGCUGAUGCACGAAAGCUAGGGGAGCAAACAGGAUUAGAUACCCCCGUAGUCCCUGUCUCUUAUAU
rnacentral:rRNA from 1 species